AUGUGAUGCAUGCUCACGUGUCUCCGCAGCCGGCUCGGGAAAGAAUCCCCCAAGCUCCAUUUCAUGAGUAAGCGUGAGAGCCGCUCAGUUUCCUCCAGCUCUGGUUUUGAUCAGUGUUCUGCUCCCUGCUUGCUUAGGGCUGGAGAGUCUCAGGCAUGGUGGUGGUGGGCAACAUGGGAAGGGGCAUCUGCAGAAAUAACAGCAGCAGUGACCAUUUAUUGAGUCUUAAACCCUUACUGAUAUUAACACACGACCCACAGGAACAUAUGAUGUAAAGGCCUAAAGGGGCGAAGUGACUUGCCCAGGGUCACACAGAUAGGCAGCGGAGGAGUCAGCAUUCUGACGGCAGAACCUACUCGGAGACCCAGAUCACAGCCCUGCCCAGGGCUGCUCUUGAUCUGGGGGUGGACUUGAUGCUUUAGGACCAUCAUUUCUCUGCGGGUCUCAGGCUAUGAGCUGAACCUUGAGAACACUGAAGAUCCUUUUUCAGGGCUGGGCUCCUCAGAGCCUCUCGAGAUUCUUGGAAGAAAAAAAACUGCAUCUCAAUUGUGUUUAUCCAGAGAGCAAAGAGAAUCAGUCAG
rnacentral:lncRNA from 10 species